CGCCGCCGUCUGCUGCUGCUGCAGGCACCGCAGGCUCCAGAAAGGGAGGCAUCCGAUGAAAUCGGCCUUUUCGGGUGGUUCAAGGAGCCGCUAUGCUGUUCUGAGAGCUCACCACUUUUGAUCUGAGGGUGAAGAACUUAGCUCCUGCACUGAGAAGUAUGGUUUAAUCUUUCCACUCUGUGAUUAGUUAUUGCCUUGAAAUUUGAUCACAGGGCCCAGGGGAAAUUUAUCAUUGUCACCUUAGGACUUAGGACCUCAGAGCUGCAGCUGAAAGACAUUUUGAAG